CUACGGGGCGGCAGCAGUGGGGAAUAUUGCACAAUGGGGGAAACCCUGAUGCAGCGACGCCGCGUGCGGGAAGAAGGCCUUAGGGUUGUAAACCGCUUUCAAUUGUGAAGAAGGGAUGAGAGUUAAUAGCUUUCCGACUUGACGGUAGCAUUAGAAGAAGCACCGGCUAAUUUCGUGCCAGCAGCCGCGGUAAUACGAAAGGUGCAAGCGUUGUUCGGAUUUACUGGGCGUAAAGAGAUCGUAGGUGGUUUGUUAAGUCGGAUGUGAAAUCCCGGGGCUCAACCUCGGAACUGCAUCCGAUACUGGCAGGCUAGAGUUCGGGAGGGGAAUGCGGAAUUCCGUGUGUAGCAGUGAAAUGCGUAGAUAUACGGAGGAACACCUGAGGCGAAGGCGGCAUUCUGGACCGAUACUGACACUGAGGAUCGAAAGCGUGGGUAGCAAACAGGAUUAGAUACCCCCGUAGUC
rnacentral:rRNA from 1 species